rnacentral:rRNA from 1 species
UACGUAGGGGGCAAGCGUUGUCCGGAAUCAUUGGGCGUAAAGAGCGUGUAGGCGGCCCAGAUAAGUCCGCUGUGAAAUCUCGAGGCUCAACUUCGAGCCUGUCGGUGGAAACUGUCUGGCUAGAGUCCCGGAAGAGGAGAGUGGAAUUCCCUGGUGUGAGCGGUGAAAUGCGCAGACAUCAGGAAGAACACCCGUGGCGAA